UACGGGGGGGGGCAAGCGUUGUUCGGAAUUACUGGGCGUAAAGGGCUCGUAGGCGGCCAACUAAGUCAUACGUGAAAUCCCUCGGCUUAACCGGGGAACUGCGUCUGAUACUGGAUGGCUUGAGAUUGGGAGAGGGAUGCGGAAUUCCAGGUGUAGCGGUGAAAUGCGUAGAUAGUCUGGAGGAACACCGGUGGCGAAGGCGGCAUCCUGGACCAACACUGACGCUGAGGAGCGAAAGCCAGGGGAGCAAACGGG
rnacentral:rRNA from 1 species